AGCAGCCGCGGUAAUUCCAGCUCCAAUAGCGUAUAUUAAAGUUGUUGCAGUUAAAAAGCUCGUAGUUGAAUUUCGGGGUUAGUAGGUUGGUCAUGCCUCUGGUAUGUACUGGUCUCACUGAUUCCUCCUUCCUGAUGAACUGUAAUGCCAUUAAUUUGGUGUUGCAGGGAAACAGGACUGUUGCUUUGAAAAAUUAGAGUGUUUAAAGCAAGCUAACGCUUGAAUACAUUAGCAUGGAAUAAUGAAAUAGGACGUUCGAACCUAUUUUGUUGGUUUCUAGGAUUGACGUAAUGAUUAAUAGGGAUAGUUGGGGGCAUUAGUAUUCAAUUGUCAGAGGUGAAAUUCUUGGAUUUAUUGAAGACUAACUACUGCGAAAGCAUUUGCCAAGGAUGUUUUCAUUAAUCAAGAACGAAAGUUAGGGGAUCGAAGACGAUCAGAUACCGUCGUAGUCUUAACCAUAAACUAUGCCGGCUAGGGAUCGGAUGAUGUUAAUUUUUAAUGA
rnacentral:rRNA from 1 species